UUCAUGUUUUUACACGAUUUUUUUCUGAGAACUCCUAUUGUGAACUCCUUAGUUGUCAGAUAAGAAACACGUGAUUCUUGAACUGGUAUAAAGCAGGGCAAUUCUUGAGAGAAACAUUUUUUAACUGUUCGUCGAUUUGUAAGGGCCGCGGAGGUUGAAACCAAAUGAAGGUGAUCCUCUCUUUCUCUCUCAACUCUUCUUCCUCCUCUCCUUAGUUGUGUCCUCCUCUGCUUCUUCUUCGGUGUUACGGAGCAAUUGCAAUUUUUCUUCCGAAAUCCAUAAAAAGAGCAAAACCUAGCUGUCAAAGUCAUUGCAAAUCACCUGAUCUAGGGUGUUUUCUUUUUUAAAUGGAAGAUUGUAUCAGAACAGUUAGACGGUUGCUUCCAAACAAAGAAAAAAUGAGCAAAGAUAUUGGAAAGAACAUGCAUUGCUUCCCGUACACAUUGACGUUGGUAUAUGUUGGGCAAUGAGAUAGCAAUGAUUCAUCACAUCCAUCUGAGGCAGCUACUAAUUGGCUUAUGACUUCAGGAUGAAUCUUGAUGGACUAAAAUACCUGUCUAUUGCAAGUGAAGGGGAAUUUCAGAAUGAAGAAAGUGUCCCUUCAAUUCAUUCAAAAGGUUCGAAUCGUGUUUGAGGUUGGCCUAGAUCAGCUAGUGCUAAUGGCAGUGACAUAGAGAAGAGAAAGAAGGGAGAAGCUAAUAAGAUAUCAAGCCCAUUGAAGAUAAUAAUUUCCCACAUUGGUCGUCUAGUCACCACUGAGUCUAGCGAUGACCUCACAGAUAGGCUUUCUGAUGCAAUUGAUAUGAUCCAAACUAUUGGCUUCAACAAAAAAAUUGUGUGCAAAAAAUUCUUUGGACAAAGCCUGAACAUGUGCAAUCUUUUUUUCAAGAAGAGUGACGAAGAUAAGCCAAAUGUGUUGGAGUUACUUAUGAAAGAAGGUGGGAUAGAGAUAAUUGAUCUACAUUGAUGGAUGAUUUUGAUGUUUUUUUUUAGGACUAUGAACUGAUAAACUUUGAAUAAUGAACUUACUUAUUUUUCGGA